UAUUUAAAUGUUGCCACUGAGAAGAACUGAAUCCGAAGAUGGAGAUUGCUCAGAUAUCUUUAUCGAUUAGAUUUUUCAUUCUCACAACUUCCCCUGAUAUUGCAAGAUUUUUCUUGUACAACUAAUUCUUGCCAUCUACGCAAUAGAGACCUCAUUCCUUUCUCCAACUAUAACUCCAACUCCAAGCAUAUUAGAAAAUGUGUUGACAUGUCCAGUGAUUUUUUUUUAUCUUUUGAUGUCUUGCAUCCUCAGUUUUCUUAUUACAGACAAAAGAAGACUUGGAAGGAUCAGAGGGAACCUCUGCCGCUGGGGCCUAAAAAGCUACUGAGGAUCCAAUCUUUUUUGGGUCAGUGGCUUAUCUGCAUUGCCUCUCCAAGCCUACCAAAAUAAAUGCAAUAGGCUAUCACCACUGCCAGCUCUGUUUCAAUCUUCUGCCACCUUCAAGGGCCAAAAUUCGUAUAAUGCAUUUACAGUUUCCAAAUGCAUCCAAUAUAACACUAAUAGUAUGCAUUAUCAGGAAUAAAUCCAAUAAUUUCACAAGAGAAAAAUUAAUUUUGUCCUCCUAUUUUAAUGAAACUAACUACUUGAUUCUCUUAUAUAGCAAAAUACAUUAUUUGAUCUUUUUUUUUUUUGUUCCAUCUACUCUUUAGUUCCUUCGUCUAAUUUAAAUCAAAAUUUCUAUUAGUCAAAGCAAUCAAAGGAAAGAGACAUUACAGUUCCGGUGACUAAAUAGCUCGAGGUUCAAAAAAUAGGACUUUAUAGUUGUAUUUUUUAAGUUAUAAAAACUUAAUGAAAUUGAAACUAAUACUUAAAAUGACCGGAGGAACAAAACUUAAAUGGAACAAAAAAAAUAAGGAUUUACUGAUGUAUUUUUCAAAAUAGGAGUACUAAGUAAUUAAUUUCAUUAAAAUAUAGGACUAAAUAAGCAUUUUUCCAUUUCAAAUGCAUAAACAAGAAGUUUCCCAUAGGAAAGUACUAAACUAAACGUUUAAAAACAUCCUAGUACUCAUCAUUCCAUGGAUCAUAUGGCAGAAUAAUGCUAAGCACAGUUGCACUGUUGCAGUCGGCAUGAAUGUGCAAAUAUGACUGUCCAUCGCCAUGGACCUCACGGUGAGACCAACGGCCAAGACACCUAGCAAAAUUUCAGCCUGCCCUAGUUUACUCCAGUUUCAUUUAUACUCUUAUGCAAAAUCAACCAUACACAACCUCCAAAAACUUUUGUGAGUUUUCUACCGUGCAAAGACAAUCAUCAGUGAAGAAUAAAAAUAUCUGAUAAAGUUCCAAAAGCAGAAUUACCUGAAAAAUGAAGAUUGUCAUGUUUCAACAAAAAUUGGGUAUAGGGUAUAACACUUGCAUUGGAAGCAGGGCAAUGUGGAGUUCUGGUAGAAAAGAUUCAGAUUAAUGUAAGAAGAGUUGGAGUUCAGAGCAGCAGAAAUGGAGUGGAGCCAAUUGAUGAUGGAUUAGAGGUAAAUUAUCUGGGCCAACGAAAUUAGGGGUAAUUAUUGCAACACAUAUCUAUUUGCAUUCUAGACAAACAACGAAAAUUUCAAUGGUAUAGCUAGAGUUUGGA